rnacentral:rRNA from 1 species
GAUGAACGCUGGCGGCGUGCUUAACACAUGCAAGUCGAGCGAACAGACGAGGAGUUUGCUCCUUUGACGUUAGCGGCGGACGGGUGAGACACACGUGGAUACUCUCCCUAUCUGACUGGUAUAACUUCGGGAAUCGGGAGCAUAUACCGGAUAAUAUAUUGAACCGCAUGGUUCAAUAGUGAAAGACGGUUUUGCUGUCACUUAUAGCUGGAUCCGCGCCGCAUUAGCUAGUUGGUACGGUAACGGCUUACCAAGGCAACGAUGCGUAGCCGACCUGAGAGAGUGAUCGGCGGCACGGGAGCUGAGACGCGGUCCAGGGUCCUGCGGGAGGCAGCAGAAGGGAAUCGGCCGCAGUAGGCGAGAGCCUGACAGAGCGGCGCCGCGUGAGUGGUGAAGAUGUUCGGUUCGUGAAGCUCUGUUAUUAGGGGAGAACAAAUGUGUAAGUAACUAUGCACGUCUUGACGGUACCUGGUCAGGAAGCAACGGCUAACUACGUG